GAUGAACGCUGGCGGCGUGCCUAAUACAUGCCAGUCGAGCGAACAGACGAGGAGCUUGCUCCUCUGACGUUAGCGGCGGACGGGUGAGUAACACGUGGAUAACCUACCUAUAAGACUGGGAUAACUUCGGGAAACCGGAGCUAAUACCGGAUAAUAUAUUGAACCGCAUGGUUCAAUAGUGAAAGACGGUCUUGCUGUCACUUAUAGAUGGAUCCGCGCCGCAUUAGCUAGUUGGUAAGGUAACGGCUUACCAAGGCAACGAUGCGUAGCCGACCUGAGAGGGUGAUCGGCCACACUGGAACUGAGACACGGUCCAGACUCCUACGGGAGGCAGCAGUAGGGAAUCUUCCGCAAUGGGCGAAAGCCUGACGGAGCAACGCCGCGUGAGUGAUGAAGGUCUUCGGAUCGUAAAACUCUGUUAUUAGGGAAGAACAAAUGUGUAAGUAACUAUGCACAUCUUGACGGUACCUAAUCAGAAAGCCACGGCUAACUACGUG
rnacentral:rRNA from 1 species